rnacentral:rRNA from 1 species
CCAAGGAGUCUAGCAUGUGUGCGAGUCAUUGAGAUUUAUAAAACUGAAAGGCGCAACGAAAGUGAAGGCGUCGCGCUCACCGAGCGCGCGCUCGGGGAGGAUGGAGGUCGAUCUCGCGUCGGCCCCCCGCACUCCCGAGGCGUCUCGUUCGCAAUCUGUCGAUGCAGGCGCGCUCAGAGCACAAAUGCUGGGACCCGAAAGAUGGUGAACUAUGCCUGGUCAGGUCGAAGUCAGGGGAAACCCUGAUGGAGGACCGUAGCGAUUCUGACGUGCAAAUCGAUCGUCGGAACUGGGUAUAGGGGCGAAAGACUAAUCGAACCAUC